rnacentral:rRNA from 1 species
GACGAACGCUGGCGGCGUGCUUAACACAUGCAAGUCGAACGGAAAGGCCCUGCUUUUGUGGGGUGCUCGAGUGGCGAACGGGUGAGUAACACGUGAGUAACCUGCCCUUGACUUUGGGAUAACUUCAGGAGACUGGGGCUAAUACCGGAUAGGAGCUCCUGCUGCAUGGUGGGGGUUGGAAAGUUUCGGCGGUUGGGGAUGGACUCGCGGCUUAUCAGCUUGUUGGUGGGGUAGUGGCUUACCAAGGCAUUGACGGGUAGCCGGCCUGAGAGGGUGACCGGCGACCUUGGGACUGAGGGACGGCCCAGUCUGCUACGGGGGGCAACAGGGGGAAAUAUUGCACAAUGGGCGCAAGCCUGAUGCGGAAGCGCGGGGUGCGGGAUGACGGCUUUCGGGUUGAAAACCGCUUUCGCCUGUGACGAAGCGGGACUGACGGUAAUGGAUAAAGAAGCACCGGCUAACUACGUG